CUUAACACAUGCAAGUCGAGGGGUAACAGUUCCAAGCAAUUGGAAGCUGACGACCGGCGCACGGGUGCGUAACGCGUAUGCAACCUACCUUUAACUGGGGGAUAGCCCGAAGAAAUUCGGAUUAAUACCCCAUAAUAUUCAAGAUGGGCAUCCAUUUUGAAUUAAAGCUUCGGCGGUUAUUGAUGGACAUGCGUGGCAUUAGUUAGUUGGUGAGGUAACGGCUCACCAAGACAACGAUGCCUAGGGGUUCUGAGAGGAUAACCCCCCACACUGGUACUGAGACACGGACCAGACUCCUACGGGAGGCAGCAGUGAGGAAUAUUGGUCAAUGGACGCAAGUCUGAACCAGCCAUGCCGCGUGCAGGAAGACGGCCCUAUGGGUUGUAAACUGCUUUUAUACGGGAAGAAACUUCCGAACGUGUUCGGAAUUGACGGUACCGUACGAAUAAGCACCGGCUAACUCCGUGCCAGCAGCCGCGGUAAUACGGAGGGUGCAAGCGUUAUCCGGAUUUAUUGGGUUUAAAGGGUGCGCAGGCGGAUCAGUAAGUCAGUGGUGAAAUCCCCCGGCUCAACCGGGGAACUGCCAUUGAAACUGCUGAUCUAGAGUACAGUUGAAGUAGGCGGAAUGUAGCAUGUAGCGGUGAAAUGCAUAGAGAUGCUACAGAACACCGAUUGCGAAGGCAGCUUACUAAGCUGUAACUGACGCUCAGGCACGAAAGCGUGGGGAGCAAACAGGAUUAGAUACCCUGGUAGUCCACGCCGUAAACUAUGAUCACUC
rnacentral:rRNA from 1 species